GGAGAGGUGACAGAGUGGACGAUUGUGCCUGCCUCGAAAUCAGGUGUACCGAAAGGUACCGGGGGUUCGAAUCCCCCCCUCUCCGCCA
rnacentral:tRNA from 1 species